AAGGGAGAACCCCCCUCCCCUUUUUUUUUUGUCUCCCUUUCUUUUUUGGAGAGUUAACAAAAAAGAAAGGGAGAAAAAAAAAGGGGAGGGGGUUCUCCCUUUUAUUUUUGUU